rnacentral:rRNA from 1 species
AGAGACCGGCGCACGGGUGCGUAACGCGUAUGCAAUCUACCUUUCACAGAGGGAUAGCCCAGAGAAAUUUGGAUUAAUACCUCAUAGUAUAUCGAGUUGGCAUCAACAUGAUAUUAAAGUCACAACGGUGAAAGAUGAGCAUGCGUCCCAUUAGCUAGUUGGUAAGGUAACGGCUUACCAAGGCAACGAUGGGUAGGGGUCCUGAGAGGGAGAUCCCCCACACUGGUACUGAGACACGGACCAGACUCCUACGGGAGGCAGCAGUGAGGAAUAUUGGACAAUGGGCGCAAGCCUGAUCCAGCCAUGCCGCGUGCAGGAUGACGGUCCUAUGGAUUGUAAACUGCUUUUAUACGAGAAGAAACAACUCUACGUGUAGAGUCUUGACGGUAUCGUAAGAAUAAGGAUCGGCUAACUCCGUGCCAGCAGCCGCGGUAAUACGGAGGAUCCAAGCGUUAUCCGGAAUCAUUGGGUUUAAAGGGUCCGUAGGCGGUCAGAUAAGUCAGUGGUGAAAGCCCAUCGCUCAACGGUGGA